GUAAGUAUAGUUUAACCAAAACGUUAGAUUGUGAUUCUAGAGACAGGAGUUAAAACCCCCCUUACUCACC
rnacentral:tRNA from 1 species